rnacentral:rRNA from 1 species
UACGUGGGGUGCAAGCGUUGUCCGGAAUUAUUGGGCGUAAAGAGCUCGUAGGCGGUUUGUCGCGUCUGCUGUGAAAACUCGGGGCUUAACCCCGGGCCUGCAGUGGGUACGGGCAGACUAGAGUGCGGUAGGGGAGACUGGAAUUCCUGGUGUAGCGGUGAAAUGCGCAGAUAUCAGGAGGAACACCGAUGGCGAAGGCAGAUCUCUGGGCCGUAACUGACGCUGAGGAGCGAAAGCGUGGGGAGCGAACAGG